rnacentral:lncRNA from 1 species
AUGUGGUUGUGUAUGUAUGUAUGUGUAAAGACAUGUAUGAGUGUAUGCACGUAUGUAAAGUUGUAAGAAAGGAAGUGAAGCGGAGGAGUAUGUAUGCAUGUAAGAUGGUACGUGUGCAUGAUUUAAAUACGUAGAGUUUUAACGUUACUAAUUAUGCGUUUGAGGUUGGUAUGUAAUGCAGGAACGAGUACAUCGGAUUCUUACGAAAUUUAAGCCCAACCCGGAAUAAGAGGAUGAGUGAUACACGGACUUCUUCUGCUACUUAGGAAGUGAAGCGGACGUAGAUCGAGUCAAGAGCAAGGAUUGCACGGAUAGAUCGAUCAUAUAGUUGAAAUAUAUAACGUCUAGAAAUGUAAAUUUUAGUAUGAAUGUUGUGAAUUCUUUUAUAGAACGUUUAACAUUUUAGCUUUUG